AACUUACCUAUAACGUUGCUUCGGCGGGAAACCGACGGCCCCGUGAAACGGGCCGCCCCCGCCAGAGGACCCCCUAACUCUUGUUAUAUCAUGCUUCUCUGAGUAAAACAAGCAAAUAAAUUAAAACUUUCAACAACGGAUCUCUUGGCUCUGGCAUCGAUGAAGAACGCAGCGAAACGCGAUAAGUAAUGUGAAUUGCAGAAUUUAGUGAAUCAUCGAAUCUUUGAACGCACAUUGCGCCCGCCAGUAUUCUGGCGGGCAUGCCUGUCCGAGCGUCAUUACAACCCUCAGGCCCCCGGGCCUGGUGUUGGGGAUCGGCGGAGCCCUCCGGGGCACACGCAGUCCCCCAAAUUCAGUGGCGGUCUCGCUGCAGCCUCCGUUGCGUAGUAGUAACAUCUCGCAACUGGAAGGCGGCGCGGCCACGCCGUAAAACCCCCAACUUCUGAA
rnacentral:misc_RNA from 1 species